rnacentral:rRNA from 1 species
GACGUAGGGCGCGAGCGUUGUCCGGAUUUAUUGGGCGUAAAGAGCUCGUAGGCGGCUUGUUGCGUCGACCGUGAAAACCCGUGGCUUAACUGCGGGCUUGCGGUCGAUACGGGCGGGCUGGAGUUCGGUAGGGGAGACUGGAAUUCCCGGUGUAGAGGUGAAAUUCGUAGAUAUCGGGAGGAACACCAGUGGCGAAGGCGGCGAUCUGGGAAGAUACUGACGCUGAGGUGCGAAAGCGUGGGGAGCAACAGG